rnacentral:rRNA from 1 species
GACAGAGGUGCCGAGCGUUAGGCGGAAUCACUGGGCUUAAAGCGUGUGUAGGCGGAUUUGUAAGUACCUUGUGAAAUCCCCCGGCUCAACCGGGGAACGGCUGGGUAUACUGGCGGUCUUGAGCCACCUAGGGGCGAGCGGAACAAGCGGUGGAGCGGUGAAAUGCGUAGAUAUCGCUUGGAACGCCGACGGUGAAAACAGCUCGCUGGGGGUGUGCUGACGCUGAGACACGAAAGCCAGGGGAGCGAACGGG